GGGAGGGGAGAUGGGAUAGGGAGUUUAUGGACUGGAAACUGGGAAAGGGGAUAACAUUUGAAAUGUAAAUAAAAAUAUCCAAUUAAAAAUAAAAACACCAGUGCAAAGCAUUGGUUACCUAUAUGUUAACUGUUAAAAAAGAAAGAAAGGGGUCUUCAUUCAUGAAAAUGCUAAUGUCACAGAUACUUCUUUUUCUUGAAGCAUGAUGCAAUUUUGUUAUCAUUGAUGUUCUACUUAAGCAGCAUUCAUCCCGUGCUAGCCCAAGUUAUCACACACUGUCUUCUUGUAACCAGGAUACAAACACUUAUGCUGUGGCCACAAUUGAGAAUUGUGAAGAAUUGAGACUUUAAGGUGGUCUUUAUUCAGAGAACUUUGAUCUGAGACGUCGGUGGAUUAACACCCCAUGCGAAGUCUAUCACAACCUCAUCUCCAACUCUCCAGGCAGCUGAUUAUUCAGGGAAGGGUAAAUGACAGUCAUUCUGGAGUUUGGUCUUGCCCCUCUGGCUAGGUGGCCAAGCAUUCCUAAGGUGGGUGUUAUCUGUUGCUCUCAUCCUCCUCCUUUAACCUGGGUGUCUUGGCUUGGACACUUCUAGGAAGUACGAUCUGUCCUGUGGCUGGAGAGUAACUCAGAACGACUAAACUGUUAACUGUGAUGUGCUGAGGUUUUGGUAACAUGUGCAUGCACGUUCCUCUUGCAACAUGGAAAAUAAAUGGUCCUUAUCAUAUGCGAUAUAAAAGCUCCCCCCCCGCCCCCAUCAACCUUUCCUAAUUUAAAACAAGUCUUUGAGAACAAGGAUCGAUUGAAUGCUUAGGUUACAGGGUCUGAUUGGCUAACUUGUUAAAAUCUUGCCAAAUGCCAGCUUGCCAGGCCUCAUUGAACGUGAAGAUCUUGCCUUGUCUAGAGGUCUCUCAUGCUGCACAGACACUAAGUACAUGGUACUGGGAGGCGCCAAGAGUGGGCUCCUAUUUUUUCCCUUGGGAAAACAAAGUCAUAACCAUCACUAGACAUGCAAGGGGAACCGGUCAGGGUAACGGCCCUUGGCAGAGCACAAUGAGUGUGUACCGGAAGGAGGGGCUGAAGGGCUUAGAGAGAAGCUCAAUAAAGUGCAAAGAUGAAUAGUUCAAAGUCUGAAUAUGUGGCUGUAGGAUCUGGGAAACCCUUAAUGUCAGGACGGAAGAUAGACUCAUUGCAGAGGCUCUGACUUAAACAAGCGCACGCAUCACCACAGAACAAGGAAGUUCUGAGACUCUGGCAGGAACCUAAAUGUGGAUCAUUUGGGUCUGCAGACUAGAGCAGUGGCAAGGCCCAGAGGGAGCUAGUGGAGGGCAAGGAUACUUCCUGUCAUCUCUGGCCCUGACACCUACAACGGAAGCUGCCAGAAGAGCCUGUGCCUCUGCUGACACCACUCAGACCUUGGCAGUGACUGAAACACCUCAGAAGGUUUUGUGGAACCAAUGUGAGCUGAGCUAAGAAUGGCUACUUGUGUAGAGAAUGAGAGGGUGGAGACUAGAGUCUCCAUUGUACUAAAGGUCAACAUUCAUGAGUGAGAGGAAAAAAAAAAAAAGAGGAGGCAUUUGGGGACAGGGAAGUGGUAAGGGAAGACAUUACCGGGGAUGCUGCCAGCUAGGCUGCAGAAAGCAGGAUUCCUGAGGCGGUGAGGAGAAGGGGCAUCUGUAUUUAGAUCUUCAGGGGGAGGGUGGAAAAGGAGCACAGGAAGAAGAUACAGAGAGGGGCAGGGACUAGUCCUGAGGGGCGACAGCAUAUGCUUGGGGUCCUCAAUACCAGCACUUGUGGCAUUGAUAAAAACAACUGAACUUUCCCCAUCACAGUGUUGGCCCAUCUUAGUUUUGGGAAUUAGAACAGAUAAGGGAAGAGUCUAUCUUGGGUGUCAAAGCUGGUGCUAUGUAACCUUGCUGGUUCCUGAUGAACUUCUCAGGCCCAGGGGGAGAAGAAUGCAGCUCGCUGUGCCGUGAUUCCAUCUGCCUUUCCAUCUACCUGCUUCAUCCUCUGUCCUCUGCUUGUGGCUUCCAUGUUCUCUUUGGCUUCUGUGGGUAGCCAGCCAGUGCAAGCCUCCAGCAGGAGCAGAGAGAGACCGGAAGGAAAGAAGCUAGGGAUUUCCUCUCUGCCUUGUGCCCUCUUCUCUCUUUCCAAUUAUACUGUGUGGUGUGUGUGUGUGUGUGUGUGACAGAGGGGACGCUGGUUAGAGACUAUACUCAGCACCCGGCAUACAGUGAGCAACAUCUCCUACUUCCUUCACCAUUUUUGAGACAAUGUCUUUACACAGUGCAGGCUGGACUUAGAAUCGCCAUCCUCUUGCUUCUGCCUCCUGAGAGCUGGGAUGGCAGGUUUGUGUCUGGCUGGAUCUCACCUGAGUCAGUUGCUAUAACUGCCCAGCCCUCACUUGUCUUAAGUACUGACAAUCCUCUUCCCAUUCUUGCCUAGGUUAGAAGCAGCUUCCAUUAGUUGCUAACCCCUGGGUGCCCUAACACCCCUGUGUCCCCACCUUAACUGUCUACAGAAAAUCCGAUUCCCUGCAGGGUCUGUGUAGGUGAUGCCAUUAUGCAGGUGAAGGUAGGUACACGAUAGAACAAGGCCUGUCAUUGAUGAGAAGGAAGGAUGGGCAGGAGAAAAGUUUUAGAAAGGCAGAGGAGGCUGGAGCAAGGAGGAGGAAGCAGGGAGAACAUGGCAGCGGAUGUUAAGAUUCCUCUCUGCACAUAAUACAGGUUGUUACGACUAUUCUUAAGGGACAGAUGUGCCCAGGAUUUUGUGAUGGCUAGAUGGACAAAUUACAUCUUCUCAGUUGGAUCAGAGGAUCAGAGGUGGCUGUGUGCACCAGGCCCAUCACAGAAUUGGGAUGUGUAUGCAUGGUGUGGUGGAAACCAGCCAAGAGAGCUGGGAGUGAAGGUGGGCGGCCUGACAGGGUGCCAUGUUGGAAUGGCUCGCAGACAACGGGUCAGCGUGGAGCCGCUGAGAUAAAUUAGCGCUAGUUCCAGUGGCUCGCUGGAGCCAGAACUUGCGAGAGAGCAUGACUGCCAGGGUACGAGCUGAACUGGUCUGCCCUUUUUUAUUUUUACCCCAGCAGGUCUAGAGUACUAACAGUUUGCCACAUGCUACUCUGCACAGGCUCAUCGGAUCCUUCUCACACUUUAUGCUUUUCUGAUAAGACUGAGGCACGGAAAAGUUAAGAUGCUUAUCCAGAGUCACACAGGAAAUGCCAGAAUUGAGACUCGGAGCUAGGCAGAGCAUCUAACUACUGGUUCAACCUGUCCCUCCCUAACCUGAGGUCAUGCUCCUGAAGCAACAGGAAGAAGAGUACAAGACCCGAGAUCCCUAAACGCACACCAGGUCAAUAUGCUAAGCUUAUUUGUAGGAGAGACUCGGAUCUGGUUAAUCUAAUGUUAUGCACAUUUCUAGCAGGUUAUCAUUUUCAUAUUUCCAGUAGUUCCCAGACUGAACUUCUCAACAGAAACAACUAAGGAGGUUUAUGGUAUAUGAGUGUCCAGGCAGUAACCCCAUAAUGGUAGAGCCACAGCUCGGGGGAUGUGAUCCAGGUACACAUAAUCCCUAGGGGAUUUUAUCUUACUGCCACAAUUGCGAACCACUGUUCUAGUUCACAGUGGCAAUUGCUAGAAGGUAGAGAUGACAGAUGGAUAUGUCUGGGCCUAUAAGCAGAGUCCUGGCUAUAUACAAGGAGGAUAAAGAGAGGAGCUUGCAGAGUUUAUGUAAGAUCUGAAAAUGACAUUAAAUAAAGUAGCCAUGAUCAGGGAUCAUUUAAUGCUUGGGCAAACCACUGCUAGGUCUGUGGACGCCUUACCAUUAAUUAUUACACUGUAGCCAUUGUCCUGAGUCACUAAAAUAAAUGGAAUGAUUGUCCAUGUGCUUUACUGAGGUAAAGGAAACAUAUGUCCUUUACACAGUUUGUUUUUCCUGGAAGAUUACAUCAUUCAAGUUAUUCCCCCACACCCACCUUUUAAAAAAAAACAGUGUCUUACUGUGGAAUCCAGGCUGGCCUUGAACUUCCCACUACUCCUACCUCUGUUUUCUGGGUACUAGAUACAAUGAUGGAUUUUCAGAUGACAGCAAAUAUUUGUAAAACACUUGCACCUGGCAACCUUCUGCAGAACUGAAGUUUCUUCACCCCUGAUUCAUGGACUCAGAUGACAUUUUCAUCCUUUCCAGACAGAUGGGAGCUUCUCAGGUCAUGACAGUGGGAGAGGAUGAGCCAGUGGCUUGUCGUCUUGGGAGAGCUCCCCAGCACCGUUAAGGAAGGCGUCGCGGAUCUCAGUCUUCUUGUUUAUAUGCUUGCUAAGCAAGCUGAUGGUGUGAGGUGAAAAUGGCUGACAGACCGCCAUGGAGGGCUGCUCACCACUCCAUCUACUAUGAGCUCAGAACAAAGGGCAUCACACAACGGGAAAUUGAACAGUCAUGUCUGAUACCAAUAAAGAUACUGCUUUAUCCUCGUCCCCAAGAA